rnacentral:lncRNA from 1 species
UUGGUUGGAGAGGGUGAACAAACAUGUGCAAACCUUUGGAAAUAGAGGAUGGUGGAUGUACUCCUGUACAUACAGAUGCUAGUGUUUCAUGUACAUAUUUCAUGCAAUUAAUUUGAAGAAGGGAAUAUUUCAGCUAGAAUUAGUGACAACUGGCAAGCAGACUUAACCAUGCCAGGUGUUCCUUAGCAUUGGGAUCGUAGCAUAUUUGGAUAAACUUGAUACAACGUCCUGCGCCCUGCCAUGGUCUAUUUCAGUUUCUACUUGAAAAUCUGUAGCGCGACUGCUACCGCAGGUUAUUUUGUGCCCCACAUAACUGAAGCAAGCAAGCAACACCGCCCAGGCGGCCUGGGGUGGCUCCCCGUUUUGUCUGUUCAGCACUACAGUAUGAACCAAACCCAACAGGGCCACCAAUAAUUGUUGCCCAAACCAAAAGGUACAGUUAAAUCUUGUGAUUUGGACGUUUAAUAUUUUAAUUAUGACUACUACCACCGCUCCCCCCUCCCGUUAUUUUUUGAUGACAUGAAUUAAUAUUUUGUUAAUUAAAUAAAUUCACCUUUAAAGGGAAUUUAUAGUUAAAGAUAAAUCAACAAUUGAAUUUGAAAAUAAUAAUUAACCUAUUAUCAAUUUUUAACACAAAUACAAACUGGACCAAUAAAUCAUAACAGAGAUAGUAGAUAGCUUUCAGACAUAGCUCACGUAAAAACCUCCGGUAAAAACGUCUCACAACUCUCUAUUCACCUACAUAGUCGUCGUCGUCUUCUCUUCAAAAAAAAAAGUUAGGUUCAUCGGCAUUUCACUAGCAUCAUCAUCGGUCCGCCUCGUCCUCCGUGCCCCUAGUGCCAUGGAGGCAUGAUGGUCCUCCGCUCUUGUUGUGAGAGGGGUCUUUCUUCGUUUUUUGUGUUUCUUCAGUCCGUUUAUCGUUUGUGUCCUCUUUAGUAAGACGAGGUGGUGGCCGCUACCGGAAGGUGGAAUAAAAAAAAUCUCGUCUAGCGAAUCAACCUGUGAUUAGAUGGUUAAACCUAUGGUUAAAUGGUUAGAAAAGUUAACCUGUGGUUAGAUGGUUAGAGGAAUUGUGGUAUCCCAGCCCAUGAACAUUCAAAUCCCGGUGCUCGCAUUUAUUUCUGGAUUUAUUUUAAGAUUUUCGGUGAUGCGCAUUCAGUGGAAGGAGAUGUUUCCAUCGAAGACGAGGCGCAUACAGUGACUUCGUAAAUCUCAAAAUGAUAUGCCGAGUCAGUCUCUCGAAGGUGUUCAUAGGGAUAGGAUGUGUAUGUGUGUUCAUAGGGGUGAGUGUAUGCGCGUAAUAUGAGCGCCCGCGUGUGUAAGGUGUUGAAAAAAAAUCCCCGCCUAGCCUGGUUUCAAUGAUGCGUCAAUCAUUAUCGAAAGGCGUGCGAAGUUGUGUCUCUAAUGGAUCUUGCGUGAUUCAGUCAAUGCCGGUCUUUGGUGGAUAUGUUUGGAUCUAAUAUUUGUUCAUCUUCGUUCAUUUUUUUUUUGAUAAAGGGCGUUUUAUUACUUAAAAGGUUUAAGCAUUACAUCCGGCAUGUGCAUAACUGAGAUGCACACAGUCAAACAAAGUCCACUCAAGAAAUAAAAAUGUGAAAUAUAAAG